rnacentral:rRNA from 1 species
CCUACGGGUGGCAGCAGUGAGGAAUAUUGGUCAAUGGCCGGAAGGCUGAACCAGCCAAGCCGCGUGAAGGAAGAAGGCCCUCGGGUUGUAAACUUCUUUUGUCAGGGACGAAACAAAUGACGGUACCUGACUAAUAAGCCACGGCUAACUACGUGCCAGCAGCCGCGGUAAUCCGGAGGUGGCAAGCGUUAUCCGGAUUUACUGGGUGUAAAGGGCGUGUAGGCGGGAGAGCAAGUCAGAUGUGAAAUUCCAGGGCUCAACCCUGGAACUGCAUUUGAAACUGUUUUUCUUGAGUGAUGGAGAGGCAGGCGGAAUUCCGUGUGUAGCGGUGAAAUGCGUAGAUAUACGGAGGAACACCAGUGGCGAAGGCGGCCUGCUGGACAUUAACUGACGCUGAGGCGCGAAAGCGUGGGGAGCAAACAGGAUUAAAUACCCCAGUAGUC